GUCUCUUUUAGGUCAUUUUUGUCUUUUGUGGUAAUUUUGCGUCUCUUUUAGGUCAGUUUGUGUCUCUUUAAGGUCAUUUUGUGUUUUAUUGCGGUAAUUUUACAUCUCUUAGGUAAUUUUACGUCUCUUUUUGAUCAUUUUAUGUCUCUUUUAGGUCAUUUUGUGUCUCUUUUAGAUAAUUUUACUUUUCUUUUAGGUAAUUUUGUGUCUCUUUUAGGUCAUUUUGUGUCUCUUUUAGGUCAUUUUACUUUUCUUUUAGGUCAUUUUACUUUUCUUUUAGGUCAUUUUAUGUCUCUUUUAGGUCAUUUUAUGUCUUGUGGAUAUUUCACGUUUCUUUUAGGUCAUUUUGUGUCUUAUUGCGAUAAUUUCACGUCUCUUUUAGGUAAUUUUAUGUCUUCUGCCGUAAUUUUACGUCUCUUUUUGAUCAUUUUAUGUCUCUUUAAGGUCAUUUUGUGUUUUAUUGCGGUAAUUUUACAUCUCUUUUAGGUCAUUUUACGUCUCUUUUUGAUCAUUUUAUGUCUCUUUUAGGUCAUUUUGUGUCUCUUUUAGAUAAUUUUACUUUUCUUUUAGGUCAUUUUGUGUCUCUUUUAGGUCAUUUUACUUUUCUUUUAGGUCAUUUUAUGUCUCUUUUAGGUCAUUUUAUGUCUUUUGCGGAAAUUUCACGUUUCUUUUAGGUCAUUUUGUGUCUUAUUGCAGUAAUUUCACGUCUCUCUUAGGUUUAUGUCUCUUUUAGGUAAUUUUAUGUCUUUUGCCAUAAUUUUACGUUUCUUUUAGGUCAUUUUGUGUCUAUUUUAGGUCAUUCUGUGUCUAUUUUAGGUCAUUCUGUGUCUCAUUGUGUUUUUUUGUGUCCUUUUGUGGUCUUUUGGUUCUCUUUUAGGCACAUUUAUGCAUUUUUGGUCACUUUGUAGUUAUUUUGUGUCUCUUCACAGUUCUUUUGCAUCUCUCUGUUGUCUUUUCAGCCUCAUCCUGGUCAGUAUGAGCCAAACAACAGCUGAUUAACUGUUCAUAAUAACUGGCAAAUAGCAGUAAUAUGUGGAUGCAUACACAUAAGUAGGUGCUGCUAUUCCGAAUUUGCACUUGUUUUAAAACCCAGUGCUGCUUUGAUAUCGAUCACGGCAAGAGCAGUUCUUGGUCUGGGUUGUAUUUCUUCACAGCCAAACACACACACACAUGUUCAAAGUGAUUUAGGCCAGUUUACGUCUGCAGAGAUCCUAAAUGUCCUGGCCAUGUAUGCAAGCUUAUAAAUUUGAAUCUGACAGCCUGGUUUGGUCCGUCCUGCUCAGACUUAAGAUGCUUAACACCCCAUAAACUGCUUGUCUAUGUCUCUCU